AGUGGGAUAGCUGGGCCAAAUGGUGGUUCCAUUCCAAGUUUUCUGAGGAAUCUCCAUACUGCUUUCCAUAAUAGUUGUCCCAAUUUACAGUCCCACCAGCAAU
rnacentral:pre_miRNA from 1 species